AUACGUAUGGGGCGAGCGUUGUCCGGAAUGAUUGGGCGUAAAGGGUACGUAGGCGGUUAAUUAAGUCGAGUGUGAAAGGUCGGGGCUCAACCCCAUAAAGCAUUCGAAACUGGUUAACUUGAGAUGUGGAGAGGAAAGUGGAAUUCCUAGUGUAGCGGUGACAUGCGUAGAUAUUAGGAGGAAUACCAGUAGCGAAGGCGACUUUCUGGACACAUACUGACGCUGAGGUACGAAAGCGUGGGGAGCAAACAGGAUUAGAUCCCCUGGUAGUCCACGCCGUAAACGAUGAAUGCUAGGUGUCGGGGGUCAAACCUCGGUGCCGCCGCUAACGCAUUAAGCAUUCCGCCUGGGGAGUACGCACGCAAGUGUGAAACUCAAAUGAAUUGACGGGG
rnacentral:rRNA from 1 species